rnacentral:rRNA from 1 species
UACAGAGGUGGCAAGCGUUGUUCGGAAUUACUGGGCGUAAAGGGCGCGUAGGCGGCCUUCUAAGUCAGACGUGAAAUCCCCGGGCUUAACCUGGGAACUGCGCUUGUAACUGGCAAGCUGGAGUGUGGCAGAGGGGGGUGGAAUUCCACGUGUAGCAGUGAAAUGCGUAGAGAUGUGGAGGAACACCGAUGGCGAAGGCAGCCCCCUGGGCUAACACUGACGCUCAUGCACGAAAGCGUGGGGAGCAAACAGG